rnacentral:rRNA from 1 species
UACGUAGGGUGCGAGCGUUGUUCGGAAUUACUGGGCGUAAAGCGCACGUAGGCGGCUUUGUAAGUUAGAGGUGAAAGCCCGGGGCUCAACCCCGGAAUUGCCUUUAAGACUGCAUCGCUUGAACGUCGGAGAGGUGAGUGGAAUUCCGAGUGUAGAGGUGAAAUUCGUAGAUAUUCGGAAGAACACCAGUGGCGAAGGCGGCUCACUGGACGACUGUUGACGCUGAGGUGCGAAAGCGUGGGGAGCAAACAGG